UCAACUCUCCUCUGUGCGACGACCCUCCGCUGGUCGGAGUUCCCCUGCCGUGUCGCCGGUCACAGGAUUUUUGAUGCCCUGGCCCGUCUUGUGGUAGCUAGAGGGAUUCCAAGGGCUGCGUUGGCCAAGCUCCUUUUUUCGGCCAUCGGAGACUUCGGCGAGCACCUGAGAGGUGUGCACCGCACUCCUUGGGUCUUGUGGAGACCCAUGCUAACCUUCGUUGCAAUUGGUGAAGCCCCGGUAUGCGCAUGGGACUUGGCCGCUUUCGAGAUCGAGCAAUAGGAGUUUUCUCCACUAUUUCGAUGACGUCCGG
rnacentral:lncRNA from 1 species